CGCGGCCUAUCAGCUUGUUGGUGAGGUAAUGGCUCACCAAGGCGACGACGGGUAGCCGGCCUGAGAGGGUGACCGGCCACACUGGGACUGAGACACGGCCCAGACUCCUACGGGAGGCAGCAGUGGGGAAUAUUGCACAAUGGGCGAAAGCCUGAUGCAGCGACGCCGCGUGAGGGAUGACGGCCUUCGGGUUGUAAACCUCUUUCAGUAGGGAAGAAGCGAAAGUGACGGUACCUGCAGAAGAAGCACCGGCUAACUACGUGCCAGCAGCCGCGGUAAUACGUAGGGUGCGAGCGUUAUCCGGAAUUAUUGGGCGUAAAGAGCUCGUAGGCGGUUUGUCGCGUCUGUCGUGAAAGUCCGGGGCUUAACCCCGGAUCUGCGGUGGGUACGGGCAGACUAGAGUGCAGUAGGGGAGACUGGAAUUCCUGGUGUAGCGGUGGAAUGCGCAGAUAUCAGGAGGAACACCGAUGGCGAAGGCAGGUCUCUGGGCAGUAACUGACGCUGAGGAGCGAAAGCAUGGGGAGCGAACAGGAUUAGAUACCCUGGUAGUCCAUGCCGUAAACGUUGGGCACUAGGUGUGGGGAACAUUCCACGUUUUCCGCGCCGCAGCUAACGCAUUAAGUGCCCCGCCUGGGGAGUACGG
rnacentral:rRNA from 1 species